rnacentral:rRNA from 1 species
UACAGAGGGUGCGAGCGUUACUCGGAAUUACUGGGCGUAAAGCGUGCGCAGGCGGUUCGUGAUGUCUGAUGUGAAAGCCCCGGGCUCAACCUGGGAAUUGCAUUGGAAACUAGCGGGCUGGAGUGUGGCAGAGGGGGGUGGAAUUCCACGUGUAGCAGUGAAAUGCGUAGAGAUGUGGAGGAACACCGAUGGCGAAGGCAGCCCCCUGGGCUAACACUGACGCUCAUGCACGAAAGCGUGGGGAGCAAACAGG